UACAGAGGGUGCUAGCGUUGUUCGGAAUCAUUGGGCGUAAAGGGCGUGUAGGCGGUUUGUUAAGUCAUGUGUGAAAUCCCUCGGCUCAACCGGGGAAGGACGCAUGAAACUGGCAGCUAGAAUACCAAAGAGGGGGGUGGAAUUCCCGGUGUAGCGGUGGAAAUGCGUAGAUAUCGGGAGGAACACCUGUGGCGAAGGCGGCCCCCUGGUUGGAGUACUGACG
rnacentral:rRNA from 1 species